GGGUUGUGAGGUUAAGCGACUAAGCGUACACGGUGGAUGCCCUGGCAGUCAGAGGCGAUGAAGGACGUGCUAAUCUGCGAUAAGCGCCGGUAAGGUGAUAUGAACCGUUAUAACCGGCGAUUUCCGAAUGGGGAAACCCAGUGUGAUUCGUCACACUAUCAUUAACUGAAUCCAUAGGUUAAUGAGGCGAACCGGGGGAACUGAAACAUCUAAGUACCCCGAGGAAAAGAAAUCAACCGAGAUUCCCCCAGUAGCGGCGAGCGAACGGGGAGGAGCCCAGAGCCUGAAUCAGCAUGUGUGUUAGUGGAAGCGUCUGGAAAGGCGCGCGAUACAGGGUGACAGCCCCGUACACAAAAGCGCAUGUGCUGUGAGCUCGAUGAGUAGGGCGGGACACGUGGUAUCCUGUCUGAAUAUGGGGGGACCAUCCUCCAAGGCUAAAUACUCCUGACUGACCGAUAGUGAACCAGUACCGUGAGGGAAAGGCGAAAAGAACCCCGGCGAGGGGAGUGAAAAAGAACCUGAAACCGUGUACGUACAAGCAGUGGGAGCACAGGUUUACCUGUGUGACUGCGUACCUUUUGUAUAAUGGGUCAGCGACUUAUAUUCUGUAGCAAGGUUAACCGAAUAGGGGAGCCGGAGGGAAACCGAGUCUUAAUUGGGCGUUAAGUUGCAGGGUAUAGACCCGAAACCCGGUGAUCUAGCCAUGGGCAGGUUGAAGGUUGGGUAACACUAACUGGAGGACCGAACCGACUAAUGUUGAAAAAUUAGCGGAUGACCUGUGGCUGGGGGUGAAAGGCCAAUCAAACCGGGAGAUAGCUGGUUCUCCCCGAAAGCUAUUUAGGUAGCGCCUCGUGAAUUCAUCUCCGGGGGUAGAGCACUGUUUCGGCUAGGGGGCCAUCCCGGCUUACCAACCCGAUGCAAACUGCGAAUACCGGAGAAUGUUAUCACGGGAGACACACGGCGGGUGCUAACGUCCGUCGUGAAGAGGGAAACAACCCAGACCGCCAGCUAAGGUCCCAAAGUCAUGGUUAAGUGGGAAACGAUGUGGGAAGGCCCAGACAGCCAGGAUGUUGGCUUAGAAGCAGCCAUCAUUUAAAGAAAGCGUAAUAGCUCACUGGUCGAGUCGGCCUGCGCGGAAGAUGUAACGGGGCUAAACCAUGCACCGAAGCUGCGGCAGCGAACGUAUCACUUAAAGCGAUUCAGCGGGUUACGAUUGACGGAGCGAAGCGACGUCAAAGCGUAUACAAAGUCGAGUCGGUUUAAGGAUACGUUCGUUGGGUAGGGGAGCGUUCUGUAAGCCUGUGAAGGUGGCCUGUGAGGGUUGCUGGAGGUAUCAGAAGUGCGAAUGCUGACAUAAGUAACGAUAAAGCGGGUGAAAAGCCCGCUCGCCGGAAGACCAAGGGUUCCUGUCCAACGUUAAUCGGGGCAGGGUGAGUCGACCCCUAAGGCGAGGCCGAAAGGCGUAGUCGAUGGGAAACGGGUUAAUAUUCCCGUACUUGGUGUUACUGCGAAGGGGGGACGGAGAAGGCUAUGUUGGCCGGGCGACGGUUGUCCCGGUUUAAGCGUGUAGGUGUGUGUUCCAGGUAAAUCCGGUUCACUUUAACACUGAGGCGUGACGACGAGGCACUACGGUGCUGAAGCAACAAAUGCCCUGCUUCCAGGAAAAGCCUCUAAGCAUCAGGUAACAUCAAAUCGUACCCCAAACCGACACAGGUGGUCAGGUAGAGAAUACCAAGGCGCUUGAGAGAACUCGGGUGAAGGAACUAGGCAAAAUGGUGCCGUAACUUCGGGAGAAGGCACGCUGACACGUAGGUGAAGUGAUUUACUCAUGGAGCUGAAGUCAGUCGAAGAUACCAGCUGGCUGCAACUGUUUAUUAAAAACACAGCACUGUGCAAACACGAAAGUGGACGUAUACGGUGUGACGCCUGCCCGGUGCCGGAAGGUUAAUUGAUGGGGUCAGCGCAAGCGAAGCUCCUGAUCGAAGCCCCGGUAAACGGCGGCCGUAACUAUAACGGUCCUAAGGUAGCGAAAUUCCUUGUCGGGUAAGUUCCGACCUGCACGAAUGGCGUAAUGAUGGCCAGGCUGUCUCCACCCGAGACUCAGUGAAAUUGAACUCGCUGUGAAGAUGCAGUGUACCCGCGGCAAGACGGAAAGACCCCGUGAACCUUUACUAUAGCUUGACACUGAACAUUGAGCCUUGAUGUGUAGGAUAGGUGGGAGGCUUUGAAGCGUGGACGCCAGUCUGCGUGGAGCCGACCUUGAAAUACCACCCUUUAAUGUUUGAUGUUCUAACGUGGACCCGUUACCCGGGUUGCGGACAGUGUCUGGUGGGUAGUUUGACUGGGGCGGUCUCCUCCUAAAGAGUAACGGAGGAGCACGAAGGUUGGCUAAUCCUGGUCGGACAUCAGGAGGUUAGUGCAAUGGCAUAAGCCAGCUUGACUGCGAGCGUGACGGCGCGAGCAGGUGCGAAAGCAGGUCAUAGUGAUCCGGUGGUUCUGAAUGGAAGGGCCAUCGCUCAACGGAUAAAAGGUACUCCGGGGAUAACAGGCUGAUACCGCCCAAGAGUUCAUAUCGACGGCGGUGUUUGGCACCUCGAUGUCGGCUCAUCACAUCCUGGGGCUGAAGUAGGUCCCAAGGGUAUGGCUGUUCGCCAUUUAAAGUGGUACGCGAGCUGGGUUUAGAACGUCGUGAGACAGUUCGGUCCCUAUCUGCCGUGGGCGCUGGAGAACUGAGGGGGGCUGCUCCUAGUACGAGAGGACCGGAGUGGACGCAUCACUGGUGUUCGGGUUGUCAUGCCAAUGGCACUGCCCGGUAGCUAAAUGCGGAAGAGAUAAGUGCUGAAAGCAUCUAAGCACGAAACUUGCCCCGAGAUGAGUUCUCCCUGAGACUUUAGGUCUCCUGAAGGAACGUUGAAGACG
rnacentral:rRNA from 1 species